AAAAGUGCUUUUACAAAAGCACUUUAUUGAAAGUACUUCGUAAAAGUGCUUUUGUUAAAGCACUUUUA
rnacentral:pre_miRNA from 1 species